UAGGCAGAUGCCAAGAUACCUGAUGGCCAGGCUGGCCAUGAGAAAACAAUGACUACUCUUUUCCCCGCAUUGUCUGGUGCAAACACCCUUUACGGUGCAG
rfam:Methanolobus tindarius DSM 2278 MettiDRAFT_Contig28.1_C, whole genome shotgun sequence.